rnacentral:rRNA from 1 species
UACGGGGGGGGCAAGCGUUGUUCGGAAUUACUGGGCGUAAAGGGCUCGUAGGCGGCCAACUAAGUCCGACGUGAAAUCCCCAGGCUUAACCUGGGAACUGCGUCGGAUACUGGAUGGCUUGAAUCCGGGAGGAGGAUGCGGAAUUCCAGUGUAGCGGUGAAUGACGUAGAUAUCAGGAGGAACACCGGUGGCGAAGGCGGGUCGCUGGCGGCAUACUGACGCUGAGGAGCGAAAGCGUGGGGAGCGAACAGG